rnacentral:rRNA from 1 species
GACGGAGGAUGCAAGCGUUAUCCGGAAUCAUUGGGUUUAAAGGGUCCGUAGGCGGUUUUGUAAGUCAGUGGUGAAAGCCCAUCGCUCAACGGUGGAACGGCCAUUGAUACUGCAAGACUUGAAUUAUUGGGAAGCAACUAGAAUAUGUAGUGUAGCGGUGAAAUGCUUAGAUAUUACAUGGAAUACCAAUUGCGAAGGCAGGUUGCUACCAAUACAUUGACGCUGAUGGACGAAAGCAUGGGGAGCGAACAGG